rnacentral:rRNA from 1 species
UACGUAGGGACCGAGCGUUGUCCGGAUUCAUUGGGCGUAAAGAGCUCGUAGGCGGCUGUUCAAGUCGAACGUGAAAACUCGGGGCUCAACUCCGAGCCUGCGUUCGAUACUGGACGGCUAGAGUCUGGUAGGGGGAUCUGGAAUUCCUGGUGUAGCGGUGGAAUGCGCAGAUAUCAGGAGGAACACCGGUGGCGAAGGCGGAUCUCUGGGCCAUUACUGACGCUGAGGAGCGAAAGCGUGGGGAGCGAACAGG